GUCAGGAUGACCAAGUGGUCUAAGGCUCUGCGUUCAGGUCGCAGUCUCCCCUGGAGGCGUGGGUUCAAAUCCCACUUCUGACA
rnacentral:tRNA from 2 species